rnacentral:lncRNA from 1 species
ACCCUCCAGCAUUUCUGCUUCCAGGUAAAACCUGCACGUGUGAGGAAUGUGUGGCAUUGUAAUGUCAGUCCUCCCUUCAGUUGCUGUCACUUGAAAGAAAAUGUGUUUGUUUAACAAACAUAAAUUGAGUGCCUACUGUGUACCCACACUUCUAGAUCCUGCUGUUGCUGCAGCCACAGCUGUGAUUAGGGCAAGUCUCAGCUCCCCUGGAGUGAGUGCUCCUGUGGGCCAUCAGGUGACAUGGGGACAGAUGCCACAGGGGAGUGUAGAGGAGGGGCCAGGGAGCGCUGUGGGAGCGAGGCUCUCUGAGAAGGCGAUGCGUGAGCCAAGGCCCAGGGUUGGGGUGGGGUGGCACCUGGGUGAGUGGAUCAGGUAGGGAGGCAGCUGGGCUGGCAUGGGAAUGAGGCAGGAGGCCCAGCCAUGGGGAACUGGAGGUCCUGCCUUUUUGAGACGGAAGCCACUGAACAGGUGAGGACUGAAGUUUAGAGUUUGGAUGGUUUACUGCCUUUGAUUGGCACACAGCCGCCAGUGUGUGUGCGUUGUGUGUGUGCAAUGGUGAGGCCACUGUGCACCCGGUGGCUGGCUUCUCAUGAGUUUAACACACACUCACCACACCAGUCAGCCCUCACGUCUUUACCCUGGAUCCUUUUCGAGAAAGGAUCUGGAAAGUAAACAUUUUAGACUUUGAGGGCCACAGUCACUGUCCAUGUUCCUCUCUGUGGUUGUCCUGCCAGACACACACCAUGAGUUUACAAAGACAGGCGGUGGAUGGAUGUGGCCUGGGGCCUGUUUGCCAAUGCCAGCCCCAGAAAAUAAAACUUAUGUUUGCAUAAAUACCUAUACACAGAUAUUUCUACCCAGGCAUAAUCACCAAGUGCUGGAAGCAACACAAGCGUCCUUCAAUGGUGAACGGAUGGCAGGGCCCCCAGAAGACCACAGGAAAGUCGUGUAGAGAAGACGUUCAGAUGGGGCGUCAGAUGUGGGGGAGAACGAGCUGGAGAUGGACACGGACAUGGAGGUGUGGAUGGCCCUGGGGAGGCCCCCUGGCAGCUGGUGGAUGGCAGGAGCGGCGUGGACAGCAGGAGCAGCAUGAACUGCAGGAGCGGCACGGGAUAAGAGAGGUCCCUUUAAGACAUGGCAGUGAAACGAUGAAACAGGCAAAAGCUGGUUGGAGAGGAGUCAUCAGAGAAGGAGCUUUAAGUGAAUUUCUUGACGAUGGUGCGCGGAUGGAUGGAGGAAGCCUCCUUGCUGAUAUAGAGUUGUGAUCCGGGGUGGAUGGGGGUGCAUAUGUGUUGGGGGAGGGCCGUGGGGAUGGAGGGAGCUGCUCCUGGUGUGGGUGGUGGCCGUGAUUCUGUGGGUUAAUGGAAGGUACUGGGGAUGGUCAACUCUGGUCACGCUUACCCUGCAAUCUGACGGCGCCAGUGCCCACUGACUGGCCCAAAUCACUCUUCUUCAAAGAUUCUGAAAGGGCUGUACAUCUAGAGUAGAUCCAGGGCUUUUGCAGUGUUGGUGACUUAGAAUAAAGAUCUUCAAAUUACGACAUUUUGGGCCUCUGGCUCACUCCCCCAAAGCAAAAUUUGUCCAAUGACAAUCUACAAAACUCAAGUAAGCCUCAUUCUUAAAUGUGACUGGAAAUAUUUAAGAUAAUCUAAAAUAAUCAAAGAGAAUAAAAAUAGCCUAUGAAGAAGCAAUUUAGAAACAAAAUCCUCCCAAUAAUUAGAAUUCUCAGAGAGAUUUAAGGAUAUAAUGCAGCCAUAAAACAUGAACAUGUACUUUAAGAAAACAGCAAUUGUGCCUCAUAAAAGCUCUUGGAAACCUGGAAUGUGGUAACUUCUGAAUUUUUUUUAAUCAAAAGAAAAGGGGAAAUUUUCUAAAAAGUAAAACGAAAGAAGUGAAGGGGUAAUGAGGCAUGAAGGAUCCUUCUAGGACAGACCACAUUCAGCCAAUAGAAGUUUUAGGAAAAGAAAACAGAGAAAAUGGAGUAGAGGCAAUUUUCAAGUAAAUAGCACCAGAAAAGGUCCCCAAAUUGUCAGGGAGACUCAAAUGUUCAUAUUGAGAAAGUUGUGAACUGCUAAGUAAGAUGAAUUUUAAAAGAUAUCUUCACAUGUCAUUGUAAAAAUUCAGAACACCUGGUUUAAAGAGAGACUAAAGUAUUACCUAAAGAAAAAAUAAUUCAGCUACAAAGAAAUAAAAAUCAGACCGGCAUUAGAUCUCCAACAGCAACAUAGCAUAGUAGCAUUCCAGAAGGCGGCAGGGUGACGUUUUUCCAGAAGGCAGCAGGGUGAUGUUUUUUCGAGUGCUGACAAAGUUUCCACCUAAGUUCCACAUCUAGACAUCUAUCAAACAAGUAUGAUUUUCAGACAUGCGGUGAGUUCUAAGGGUCCCAAGAUCCUUUCUGUUUUUAAUAAACUUUUUUUUGCUCUAGUGCAACAUACACGCAGAGAAGUGGGCAAAGUGAAUCGAACUCUGCAGGCUGGUGUCCACAUAAAGAGAUGGAACACCACAGUGCCCACUGGCAGCCCCCCCAAGCCCCGCCUGCCAUGGUCUCCAGGGGUGACUGUGAUGCUCACCACUAGUGCUAUCAUUUAGCUUAGCCAAUAUUGGAACAGUUUUAACCAAGCAUCAUUUCUUAAUGAGUUAUUUGAGCACUUGAAAUAGGGCACUGAAUAGGAGCAGAGGAAGUGACUGUCCAGGGUCUGAGGCUGCAAUGAGGGACCAGAGGUCCCAGGGUGGCCCCUCUAUGCAGGAGUGUACGACCGGAUGGUCUCAGAACAGGUGUUCCUGGGGAAGGGGAUUCUCAGUAGAUUAAGUGGGGAGACGGGAUGGGUGGGAAAUGCAAGGACAAGAUAAAAGUAGAGGUUGAAGGAAAAAAAAGCCAUUAGAAAGAAGCAGAAUAAUAAUAGUGACAAAUGUCCUCUCGACCCAGCCAGGGCAAGCAGAGAAGCAGAGAUGGCCUAAAUGUGGAGCAGUGGGUCCAAACUGGACCAGAGUGAAUCUAACUUAAUGAAAAUGACAACUGCAAAAAAAAACAGAACUGAUUCUAAGCAAUCCAUGAAAUGCAUAAGAAGCUCAAAUGUAUAAUUGGGACAAUGGUGAAUAGCAUUAAUAUUUCUUCUUUCUCAACAAGGAAAAGGCAAUUAGAAAUUCUAGAAAAACAACCACAUAAUAAAGAUAGGGCCCCAGUAUGGAACAAUAAAAACAAUGAUGGUUUUGAAUAAUUGGUAAAGUCUAGGAAAGGAAAAGUCAUUUGCGUUUGACACCAGGAACAUUUUCCUAGGCGUGGCUUAUGCUUUGAGUCAUUGGACGUAGAGGGAGGGGUGCAACCCUGCAGCGGUGCUGGGCUCUGCAGUGAACCAUGCAAAUCACCUAAGGCAGCCGGGAAUGGGGCCCAGCCAGCCUGCUGCAAAGUAGCUCUAGGUGCAUCUUCCGUGCGUCUAGGUGUGCCAUGUGACAAGGUGCUGUUGGAUGCCUGUGAGUGGAAAUGAUGCCAGUGUACCCGGGCCUGGCCCAUUAAAAACACCCACAUCGUGCUCCUUUGGCCAGUUUCCCCUCCCACGGCUGAAACUGGAUGACCGUGGAGUCUCACGCUCAAGAUGUCAGAGCCUGGGUCACCUGGGUCCCUGAGUGGCUGAGGAGGAGAUGCCACUCCAUGGACCCACUUAUCUUCAGGAACACGUACAUCAGCAAGAAACAAAUGAUGGUGUUUAUGCCAUUUUAUAUUUGGAGGUUUAUCUAUUAGAGGAGUUAGCUAUGCUAACUAUUAAUAAUUCAGGUUAAUUGGUUUUCAACUUUUUGGACUCUACAGACAAAGCACAGAGACUUACCCAUGAGUAAAAAUACAGUGCACGUGUCAGGAAGCUUAAUAAGGCAGGGCGCCACCGUCAAAAGCAGGAAGAGGAAGCCGGUGAGGGCAGGGCAGGGGGGAAGGCUGGCGGUGCCAAUACCUAGUCUCAGGGAUCAGGGGUGCCUUCUGUCAUUAGCGGGGAGUGUCACGUGUAUUGCUUACUGCUGCAGUUAGAUAAUGGAAGGUACAUCUGUCAAUAUUGAUGUAACUAUUGGGAGGCUGUAACAAUAGUAAAGACAGCUAAAUUCUUAUUGAUCAUAAUAGGAAAAUAAGCUGAUCAAGAAAUCAGAAAGAUCUGGGAAGUAACCAGAGAAGAAAUGGAAUCAGAACCAUUAAAAGCGGUUACCCCUGAGGAGCAGGGCUGGAGGUGGGAGGGCUGUUUGGGGGCCGCCCAGCAUCGCCCUUUUUCCUUUCCUCCAUUUCUCCCUGUCUCUCUCUCUGUCUCUCUCAUCAGCCCUCCUGCACUCUUUCAAAUGUUAAACCUAUGCAUUUAUUACUUUCAUUUUAGAAUUUAAAAUAUUUAAAGGUUUACUAAAUACACAUUAGAAAUUAGGUUACUCAGGAGAACAUGAAGUUUUUCCUGAGUACUCUAGGGACACUCAGUUAUUAAUAAUUGAUAUGCAGCUCCCAUGCCAUGGUCGUCUGUUACAGUAGGUCUCCAUAUACCUGGCCUUAGGAUAUUCUUUAUUUAUUUAUUUUUUUUUCCAUAGGUUAUUGGGGUACAGGUGGUAUUUGGUU